rnacentral:rRNA from 1 species
UACGUAGGGGGGCUAGCGUUGUCCGGAUUUAUUGGGCGUAAAGAGCGUGUAGGCGGCCAGGUAGGUCUGCUGUGAAAACUCGAGGCUCAACCUCGAGAUGUCGGCGGAAACCAUCUGGCUAGAGUCCGGAAGAGGAGAGUGGAAUUCCUGGUGUAGCGGUGAAAUGCGCAGAUAUCAGGAAGAACACCCGUGGCGAAGGCGGCUCUCUGGGACGGUACUGACGCUGAGACGCGAAAGCGUGGGAGCGAACAGG